rnacentral:siRNA from 1 species
UCAUGGUCCUGAAGGAAUUGAUA